UACGAAGGGGGCUAGCGUUGUUCGGAAUUACUGGGCGUAAAGCGCGCGUAGGCGGAUAUUUAAGUCAGGGGUGAAAUCCCAGAGCUCAACUCUGGAACUGCCUUUGAUACUGGAUAUCUUGAGUAUGGAAGAGGUGAGUGGAAUUGCGAGUGUAGAGGUGAAAUUCGUAGAUAUUCGCAGGAACACCAGUGGCGAAGGCGACUCACUGGUCCACAACUGACGCUGAGGUGCGAAAGCGUGGGGAGCAAACAGG
rnacentral:rRNA from 1 species